ensembl:snoRNA
UAUUUUAGGCAUGGAAAAACUAUCAUAGAAUAAAAUGAAUUUCAGCCAGGGACAAAGUCACUCCUUGUUUAUCCCAGCUUGGCUUUUGGUCUGUGCUCAUGCCUGGUUCAUGUUCUGGACACAUUG